AAAAAGACAAACCCUGGGUUUCCGUGUCCAACGUUUGAUUGUCCGUCUUAUAUGAAAUUUUUUUAUAAUUAGUAUUUUCAUUGUUGUUAGAUGAUAAAACAUGAUUAAUACUUUAUGCGUGACUUGUCUUUUAAAUUUUUUUCUUAAUUUUUUCAAAUAAGACGGACGGUCAAACGUUGGACACAGAAACCUAGGGUUUGCCUUUUU
rnacentral:pre_miRNA from 1 species